rnacentral:lncRNA from 1 species
UGUGAACCUGCGGUGUAGGGGAGCUCUUUUCCCUCGGGGUGAAGGGAACUUUCAUUGCCCCUUUAAACUCUGCCCCAGGCACCAGGCAGCCCAGGCACUGGCUGUGGGUGGCCUGGGGUUUUGGUAGGAAAGCAGAUCCUCCCCUUCCAACUUUGCUUAAUGUUUCCUGGGACUAUUACAUAAGCUGUAGAGGGAAGUCUGCAUUUUUAGGGAAAAAUACAAGAAAAGCUGGUAUUUAAGAAAAGUGAACAUUUUUCUUUACUCCCUGGUGAUUCUUGUUUUGUAUUUUAAGCAGUGUGUGCAUAGUGGGCUGUCAUUUUUCCAGGAGAGAGAAGUGAAGAACCAGGGGAAUCUCACGCUUCUGCCUCGUGUGUCCAGAUGAGCAUCAAAGUGAAAAACGUGAAAUCCAUGGAGAAUCUGCGUUCCCGGAGCCUUACUGUCCAUGUAGACCCACUCAUUCUCCCAAGCGGACGGAGUCCAGCCUUGCAGGCAAAGAAGUUAACCCAGGAAGAAAAGGUUCCAGGGAGUCUGCAGUGGAAUGACGAUGCUUUUGUUCUGCGUUUGGGGGUCUCUUGUGGCCUCGUGAUGUUGAAAAGGGAGGAGAGCUGCUGAAGCUGUGCGUCAUGGGCAGGCCUGGCUUAGGAAUCUGGAAAGCGCUGGUCAUUUUCAUCUGAUUGAAGCUAGCUCCAUGCAGACCUCACCAGGGAUACUCUGAAAGUGACCCUUCCCCAGUGGGCCCCAUGCCGGCCCUGGGCCUGGGAGAAGCCGCUCGUGCCUCCUCUCUGUCUGCGUAUUUGUGCUGCUGCAACGAAACACCUGACACUGGGUCGUUUGUAAAGAACAGAAAUUUAUUCCUCACAGUUCUGGGACUGGGAAGCCAAGAUCCAGGCACGGGCAGAUUUGGUGUUGGUGAGGGUUUGGUCUCUGCUUCAAGAUGGCACCUCUUGCUGAACCCCCCCG